CUUGGUCAUUUAGAGGAAGUAAAAGUCGUAACAAGGUUUCCGUAGGUGAACCUGCGGAAGGAUCAUUCACAAACGAGUGUUUUAUGGCACUCUUUAAAAAUCCAUAUCCACCUUGUGUGCAAUGUUUGUUGGGAAAGUCUUUUCUUUCCCUUCAUAAAUAUCAACCUAUAUCUUUAACAACAUUCGUCUGAUAACAUAUUAUGAAUAUACUUAAUUCAAAAUAUAACUUUCAACAACGGAUCUCUUGGCUCUCGCAUCGAUGAAGAACGCAGCGAAAUGCGAUACGUAAUGUGAAUUGCAGAAUUCAGUGAAUCAUCGAAUCUUUGAACGCAUAUUGCGCUCUUUGGUAUUCCGAAGAGCAUGCUUGUUUGAGUAUCAGUAAACACCUCAACCUCUCUUUUUUGAUAAAAAAAAGGGAGGGUGGACUUGAGCUAUCCCAACGACCUUCACCGGUAGGCGGGCGGCUUGAAAUGCAGGUGCAGCUGGACUUUUAUCUGAGCUAAAAGCAUAUCUAUUUAGUCCUCGUCAAACAGGAUUAUUACUUUUGCUGCAGCCAACAUAAAGGAUAAUUGUCCUCUUUGCUGACUGAUGCAGGAUUUUACGACACUUUAUGUGUUGUUCAACUCGAUCUCAAAUCAAGUAAGACUACCCGCUGAACUUAAGCAUAUCAAUAAGCGGAGGAAAAGAAACUAACAAGGAUUCCCCUAGUAACGGCGAGUGAAGCGGGAUGAGCUCAAAUUUGAAAUCUGGCUGGUUUACUAGUCCGAGUUGUAAUUUAAAGAAGCGUUUUCGGUGGCAGCCUGGGUAUAAAUCCUUUGGAAUAGGGUAUCAUAGAGGGUGAGAAUCCCGUCUUUGACCUAGUGCAUGCUACUAUGUGAUACGUUUUCAAAGAGUCGAGUUGUUUGGGAAU
rnacentral:sRNA from 1 species